rnacentral:lncRNA from 1 species
UAGGGCUAUGGUAAGGUUUAAGGUUUUUGGCGUUAGGGUUAAAAUCACUGUCCAAAACCUUUGUAGGAACUCUUUUCCAAACUUUUGGAGUCAGUUAGACCAAAAAAAAUGAAAAAUGAAAUAAAAAAUAUUUGGGGUGUUCAGCCUUCCUGAAGGUAAUACCCGGGUAUUAGGUUAUGGGGCUUAGGAAAUGUUUAAGGUUUUUGGCGUUAGGGUUAAAAUCACUGUCCAAAACCUUUGUAGGAACUGUUUCUAAACUUUUGGAGUCAGUUAGACCCAAAAAAAAGAAAAAUGAAAAAAAAAUAUUUGGGGUUUUCAGGAUUCCUGGAGGUAAUACCCUAAUAUUAGGUUUUGGGGCUAGGGUAAGGUUUGAGGUUUUUGGCGUUAGGGUUAAAAUCACUGUCCAAAACCUUUUUAGGAACAUGUUUCAGACCUUUUGGAGUUGGUUACAUACAAAAAAAAUGUAAAAUGAAAAAAAAUAUAUUUGGGGUGUUCGGGCUUCCUGAAGGUAAUACCCGGGUAUUAGGUUAUGGGGCUAUGGUAAGGUUUAAGGUUUUUGACGUUAGGGUUGAAAAUAACUUUCCAAAACCUUUGUAGGAACUCUUUUCCAACCUUAUGGAGUUCGUUAGACCAAAAAAAAAAAGAAAAAUGAAAAAAAAUUAUUUGGGGUGUUCGGGCUUCCUGAAGGUAAUACCCGGGUAUUAGGUUAUGGGGCUUAGGAAAUGUUUAAGGUUUUUGGCGUUAGGGUUAAAAUCACUGUCCAAAAACCUUUGUAGGAACUCUUUUCCAACCUUUUGGAGUUAGGUUGACCAAAAAAAAAAAGAAAAAAGGAAUAAAAAAUAUUUGGGGUGUUCGGGCUUCCUGAAGGUAAUACCCGGGUAUUAGGUUUUGGUGCUAGGGUAAGGUUUGAGGUUUUUGGCAUUAGGGUUAAAAUCACUGUCCAAAACCUUUUUAGGAACACCUUUCAGACCUUUUGGAGUUUGUACACCAAAAAAAAAAUGUAAAAAGAAAAAAGAAAAAAAAAAAUAUUCGGGGUGUUCGGGCUUCCUGAAGGUAAUACCCGGGUAUUAGGUUUUGGGGCUAGGGUAAGGUUUGAGGUUUUUGGCAUUAGGGUUAAAAUCACUGUCCAAAACCUUUUUAGGAACACGUUUCAGACCUUUUGGAGUUUGUACACCGAAAAAAAAAGUGUAAAAUUAAAAAAAAAUAUUUGGGGUGUUCGGGCUUCCUGAAGGUAAUACCCGGGUAUCAGGUUAUGGGGCUAGGGUAAGGUUUAAGGUUUUUGGCGUUACGGUUAAAAUCACUGUUCAAAACCUUUGUAGGAACUGUUUCUAAACUUUUGGAGUCAGUUAGACCCCAAAAAAAGAGAAAUGAAAAAAAAAUAUUUGGGGUUUUCAGGCUUCCUGGAGGUAAUACCCUAAUAUUAGGUUUUGGGGCUAGGGUAAGGUUUGAGGUUUUUGGCGUUAGGGUUAAAAUCACUGUCCAAAACCUUUUUAGGAACAUGUUUCAGACCUUUUGGAGUUGGUUACAUACAAAAAAAAUGUAAAAUGAAAAAAAAAAUAUUUGGGGUGUUCGGGCUUCCUGAAGGUAAUACCCGGGUAUUAGGUUAUGGGGCUUAGGAAAUGUUUAAGGUUUUUGGCGUUAGGGUUAAAAUCACUGUCCAAAAACCUUUGUAGGAACUCUUUUCCAACCUUUUGGAGUUAGGUUGACCAAAAAAAAAAAGAAAAAAGAAAAAAAAUGUAUUUGGGGUGUUCGGGCUUCCUGAAGGUAAUACCCGGGUAUUAGGUUAUGGGGCUUUGGAAAGUUUUAGGGUUUUUGGCAUCAGGGUUAAAAUCACUGUCCAAAAACCUUUGUAGGAUUUCUUUUCCAACCUUUUGGAGUUAGUUAGACCAAAAAAAAAAAGAAAAAAGGAAUAAAAAAUAUUUGGGGUGUUCGGGCUUCCUGAAGGUAAUACCCGGGUAUUAGGUUUUGGUGCUAGGGUAAGGUUUGAGGUUUUUGGCAUUAGGGUUAAAAUCACUGUCCAAAACCUUUUUAGGAACACCUUUCAGACCUUUUGGAGUUUGUACACCAAAAAAAAAAAAAGUAAAAUGAAAAAAAAAUUUUUGGGGUGUUCGGGCUUCCUGAAGGUAAUACCCGGGUAUCAGGUUAUGGGGCUAUGGUAAGGUUUAAGGUUUUUGGCGUUAGGGUUAAAAUCACUGUCCAAAACCUUUGUAGGAACUGUUUCUAAACUUUUGGAGUCAGUUAGACCAAAGAAAAAUGAAAAAUGAAAUAAAAAAUAUUUGGGGUGUUCAGGCUUCCUGAAGGUAAUACCCGGGUAUUAGGUUAUGGGGCUUAGGAAAUGUUUAAGGUUUUUGGCGUUAGGGUUAAAAUCACUGUCCAAAACCUUUGUAGGAACUGUUUCUAAACUUCUGGAGUCAGUUAGACCCAAAAAAAAGAGAAAUGAAAAAAAAAUAUUUGGGGUUUUCAGGAUUCCUGGAGGUAAUACCCUAAUAUUAGGUUUUGGGGCUAGGGUAAGGUUUGAGGUUUUUGGCGUUAGGGUUAAAAUCACUGUCCAAAACCUUUUUAGGAACAUGUUUCAGACCUUUUGGAGUUGGUUACAUACAAAAAAAAUGUAAAAUGAAAAAAAAAUAUUUGGGGUGUUCGGGCUUCCUGAAGGUAAUACCCGGGUAUUAGGUUAUGGGGCUAUGGUAAGGUUUAAGGUUUUUGACGUUAGGGUGAAAAUAACUUUCCAAAACCUUUGUAGGAACUCUUUUCCAACCUUAUGGAGUUCGUUAGACCAAAAAAAAAAGAAAAAUGAAAAAAAAAAUUUGGGGUGUUCGGGCUUCCUGAAGGUAAUACCCGGGUAUUAGGUUAUGUGGCUUAGGAAAUGUUUAAGGUUUUUGGCGUUAGGGUUAAAAUCACUGUCCAAAAACCUUUGUAGGAACUCUUUUCCAACCUUUUGGAGUUAGGUUGACCAAAAAAAAAAAGAAAAAAGAAAAAAAAAUAUUUGGGGUGUUCGGGCUUCCUGAAGGUAAUACCCGGGUAUUAGGUUUUGGUGCUAGGGUAAGGUUUGAGGUUUUUGGCAUUAGGGUUAAAAUCACUGUCCAAAACCUUUUUAGGAACACCUUUCAGACCUUUUGGAGUUUGUACACCAAAAAAAAAUGUAAAAAGAAAAAAGAAAAAAAAAUAUUUGGGGUGUUCGGGCUUCCUGAAGGUAAUACCCGGGUAUUAGGUUUUGGGGCUAGGGUAAGGUUUGAGGUUUUUGGCAUUAGGGUUAAAAUCACUGUCCAAAACCUUUUUAGGACCACGUUUCAGACCUUUUGGAGUUUGUACACCGAAAAAAAAUGUAAAAUUAAAAAAAAAUAUUUGGGGUGUUCGGGCUUCCUGAAGGUAAUACCCGGGUAUCAGGUUAUGGGGCUAUGGUAAGGUUUAAGGUUUUUGGCGUUACGGUUAAAAUCACUGUCCAAAACCUUUGUAGGAACUGUUUCUAAACUUUUGGAGUCAGUUAGACCCAAAAAAAAAGAGAAAUGAAAAAAAAUAUUUGGGGUUUUCAGGCUUCCUGGAGGUAAUACCCUAAUAUUAGGUUUUGGGGCUAGGGUAAGGUUUGAGGUUUUUGGCGUUAGAGUUAAAAUCACUGUCCAAAACCUUUUUAGGAACAUGUUUCAGACCUUUUGGAGUUGGUUACAUACAAAAAAAAUGUAAAAUGAAAAAAAAAAUAUUUGGGGUGUUCGGGCUUCCUGAAGGUAAUACCCGGGUAUUAGGUUAUGGGGCUAUGGUAAGGUUUAAGGUUUUUGACGUUAGGGUGAAAAUAACUUUCCAAAACCUUUGUAGGAACUCUUUUCCAACCUUAUGGAGUUCGUUAGACCAAAAAAAAAGAAAAAUAAAAAAAAUGUAUUUGGGGUGUUCGGGCUUCCUGAAGGUAGUACCCGGGUAUUAGGUUAUGGGGCUUAGGAAAGGUUUAAGGUUUUUGGCGUUAGGGUUAAAAUCACUGUCCAAAACCUUUGUAGGAACUCUUUUCCAAACACGGAGUCAGUUAGACCAAAAAAAAAUGAAAAAUGAAAUAAGAAAUAUUUGGGGUGUUCAGGCUUCCUGAAGGUAAUACCCGGGUAUUAGGUUAUGGGGCUUAGGAAAUGUUUAAGGUUUUUGGCGUUAGGGUUAAAAUCACUGUCCAAAAACCUUUGUAGGAACUCUUUUCCAACCUUUUGGAGUUAGGUUGACCAAAAAAAAAAAGUGUAAAAUGAAAAAAAAAUAUUUGGGGUGUUCGGGCUUCCUGAAGGUAAUACCCGGGUAUUAGGUUUUGGGGCUAGGGUAAGGUUUGAGGUUUUUGGCAUUAGGGUUAAAAUCACUGUCCAAAACCUUUUUAGGAACACGUUUCAGACCUUUUGGAGUUUGUACACCGAAAAAAAAAAGUAAAAUUAAAAAAAAUAUUUGGGGUGUUCGGGCUUCCUGAAGGUAAUACCCGGGUAUCAGGUUAUGGGGCUAUGGUAAGGUUUAAGGUUUUUGGUGUUACGGUUAAAAUCACUGUCCAAAACCUUUGUAGGAACUGUUUCUAAACUUUUGGAGUCAGUUAGACCCAAAAAAAAGAGAAAUGAAUAAAAAAUAUUUGGGGUUUUCAGGCUUCCUGGAGGUAAUACCCUAAUAUUAGGUUUUGGGGCUAGGGUAAGGUUUGAGGUUUUUGGCGUUAGGGUUAAAAUCACUGUCCAAAACCUUUUUAGGAACAUGUUUCAGACCUUUUGGAGUUGGUUACAUACAAAAAAAAUGUAAAAUGAAAAAAAAAAUUAUGGGGUGUUCGGGCUUCCUGAAGGUAAUACCCGGGUAUUAGGUUAUGGGGCUAUGGUAAGGUUUAAGGUUUUUGACGUUAGGGUGAAAAUAACUUUCCAAAACCUUUGUAGGAACUCUUUUCCAACCUUAUGGAGUUCGUUAGACCAAAAAAAAAGAAAAAUGAAAAAAAAAUAUUUGGGGUGUUCGGGCUUCCUGAAGGUAAUACCCGGGUAUUAGGUUAUGGGGCUUAGGAAAUGUUUAAGGUUUUUGGCGUUAGGGUUAAAAUCACUGUCCAAAAACCUUUGUAGGAACUCUUUUCCAACCUUUUGGAGUUAGGUUGACCAAAAAAAAAAAGAAAAAAGAAAAAAAAAUAUUUGGGGUGUUCGGGCUUCCUGAAGGUAAUACCCGGGUAUAAGGUUUUGGUGCUAGGGUAAGGUUUGAGGUUUUUGGCAUUAGGGUUAAAAUCACUGUCCAAAACCUUUUUAGGAACACCUUUCAGACCUUUUGGAGUUUGUACACCAAAAAAAAAAUGUAAAAUGAAAAAAAAAAUUAUGGGGUGUUCAGGCUUCCUGAAGGUAAUACCCGGGUAUUAGGUUAUGGGGCUAUGGUAAGGUUUAAGGUUUUUGACGUUAGGGUGAAAAUAACUUUCCAAAACCUUUGUAGGAACUCUUUUCCAACCUUAUGGAGUUCGUUAGACCAAAAAAAAAAAAGAAAAAUGAAAAAAAAAUAUUUGGGGUGUUCAGGCUUCCUGAAGGUAAUACCCGGGUAUUAGGUUAUGGGGCUUAGGAAAUGUUUAAGGUUUUUGGCGUUAGGGUUAAAAUCACUGUCCAAAAACCUUUGUAGGAACUCUUUUCAAACCUUUUGGAGUUAGGUUGACCAAAAAAAAAAAAGAAAAAAGAAAAAAAAAUAUUUGGGGUGUUCGGGCUUCCUGAAGGUAAUACCCGGGUAUUAGGUUUUGGUGCUAGGGUAAGGUUUGAGGUUUUUGGCAUUAGGGUUAAAAUCACUGUCCAAAACCUUUUUAGGAACACCUUUCAGACCUUUUGGAGUUUGUACACCAAAAAAAAAAUGUAAAAUGAAAAAAAAAAAAUUGGGGUGUUCGGGCUUCCUGAAGGUAAUACCCGGGUAUUCAGGUUAUGGGGCUAUGGUAAGGUUUAAGGUUUUUGACGUUAGGGUGAACAUAACUUUCCAAAACCUUUGUAGGAUCUCUUUUCCAACCUUAUGGAGUUCGUUAGACCAAAAAAAAAAGAAAAUGAAAAAAAAAUAUUUGGGGUGUUCAGGCUUCCUGAAGGUAAUACCCGGGUAUUAGGUUAUGGGGCUUAGGAAAUGUUUAAGGUUUUUGGCGUUAGGGUUAAAAUCACUGUCCAAAAACCUUUGUAGGAACUCUUUUCCAACUUUUUGGAGUUAGGUUGACCAAAAAAAAAAAGAAAAAAGAAAAAAAAAUUUUUGGGGUGUUCGGGCUUCCUGAAGGUAAUACCCGGGUAUUAGGUUUUGGUGCUAGGGUAAGGUUUGAGGUUUUUGGCAUUAGGGUUAAAAUCACUGUCCAAAACCUUUUUAGGAACACCUUCUAGAACUGUUGGAGUUUGUACACCAAAAAAAAAAUGUAAAAAGAAAAAAGAAAAAAAAAUAUUUGGGGUGUUCGGGCUUCCUGAAGGUAAUACCCGGGUAUUAGGUUUUGGGGCUAGGGAAAGGUUUGAGGUUUUUGGCAUUAGGGUUAAAAUCACUGUCCAAAACCUUUUUAGGAACACGUUUCAGACCUUUUGGAGUUUGUACACCGAAAAAAAAAUGUAAAAUUAAAAAAAAAUAUUUGGGGUGUUCGGGCUUCCUGAAGGUAAUACCCGGGUAUCAGGUUAUGGGGCUAUGGUAAGGUUUAAGGUUUUUGGCGUUACGUUUAAAAUCACUGUCCAAAACCUUUGUAGGAACUGUUUCUAAACUUUUGGAGUCAGUUAGACCCAAAAAAAAGAGAAAUGAAAAAAAAAAUUUUGGGGUUUUCAGGCUUCCUGGAGGUAAUACCCUAAUAUUAGGUUUUGGGGCUAGGGUAAGGUUUGAGGUUUUUGGCGUUAGGGUUAAAAUCACUGUCCAAAACCUUUUUAGGAACAUGUUUCAGACCUUUUGGAGUUGGUUACAUACAAAAAAAAUGUAAAAUGAAAAAAAAAAUAUUUGGGGUGUUCGGGCUUCCUGAAGGUAAUACCCGGGUAUUAGGUUAUGGGGCUAUGGUAAGGUUUAAGGUUUUUGGCGUUUGGGUUAAAAUCACUGUCCAAAAACCUUUGUAGGAACUCUUUUCCAACCUUUUGGAGUUAGGUUGACCAAAAAAAAAAAAGAAAAAAGAAAAAAAAAUGUAUUUGGGGUGUUCGGGCUUCCUGAAGGUAAUACCCGGGUAUUAGGUUUUGGUGCUAGGGUAAGGUUUGAGGUUUUUGGCAUUAGGGUUAAAAUCACUGUCCAAAACCUUUUUAGGAACACCUUUCAGACCUUUUGGAGUUUGUACACCAAAAAAAAAUGUAAAAUGAAAAAAAAAAAUUUGGGGUGUUCGGGCUUCCUGAAGGUAAUACCCGGGUAUCAGGUUAUGGGGCUAUGGUAAGGUUUAAGGUUUUUGACGUUAGGGUGAAAAUAACUUUCCAAAACCUUUGUAGGAACUCUUUUCCAACCUUAUGGAGUUCGUUAGACCAAAAAAAAAAGAAAAAUGAAAAAAAAAUAUUUGGGGUGUUCAGGCUUCCUGAAGGUAAUACCCGGGUAUUAGGUUAUGGGGCUUAGGAAAUGUUUAAGGUUUUUGGCGUUAGGGUUAAAAUCACUGUCCAAAAACCUUUGUAGGAACUCUUUUCCAACUUUUUGGAGUUAGGUUGACCAAAAAAAAAAAAAAAAAAAAAAAAAAAAUUUUUGGGGUGUUCGGGCUUCCUGAAGGUAAUACCCGGGUAUUAGGUUUUGGUGCUAGGGUAAGGUUUGAGGUUUUUGGCAUUAGGGUUAAAAUCACUGUCCAAAACCUUUUUAGGAACACCUUUCAGACCUUUUGGAGUUUGUACACCAAAAAAAAAAUGUAAAAAGAAAAAAGAAAAAAAAAUAUUUGGGGUGUUCGGGCUUCCUGAAGGUAAUACCCGGGUAUUAGGUUAUGGGGCUUAGGAAAUGUUUAAGGUUUUUGGCGUUAGGGUUAAAAUCACUGUCCAAAAACCUUUGUAGGAACUCUUUUCCAACCUUUUGGAGUUAGGUUGACCAAAAAAAAAAAGAAAAAAGAAAAAAAAAUAUUUGGGGUGUUCGGGCUUCCUGGAGGUAAUACCCUAAUAUUAGGUUUUGGGGCUAGGGUAAGGUUUGAGGUUUUUGGCGUUAGGGUUAAAAUCACUGUCCAAAACCUUUUUAGGAACAUGUUUCAGACCUUUUGGAGUUGGUUACAUACAAAAAAAAUGUAAAAUGAAAAAAAAAAUUAUGGGGUGUUCGGGCUUCCUGAAGGUAAUACCCGGGUAUUAGGUUAUGGGGCUAUGGUAAGGUUUAAGGUUUUUGACGUUAGGGUGAAAAUAACUUUCCAUAACCUUUGUAGGAACUCUUUUCCAACCUUAUGGAGUUCGUUAGACCAAAAAAAAAAGAAAAAUGAAAAAAAAAAUAUUUGGGGUGUUCGGGCUUCCUGAAGGUAAUACCCGGGUAUUAGGUUAUGGGGCUUAGGAAAUGUUUAAGGUUUUUGGCGUUAGGGUUAAAAUCACUGUCCAAAAACCUUUGUAGGAACUCUUUUCCAACCUUUUGGAGUUAGGUUGACCAAAAAAAAAAAGAAAAAAAAAUAUUUGGGGUGUUCGGGCUUCCUGAAGGUAAUACCCGGGUAUUAGGUUUUGGUGCUAGGGUAAGGUUUGAGGUUUUUGGCAUUAGGGUUAAAAUCACUGUCCAAAACCUUUUUAGGAACACCUUUCAGACCUUUUGGAGUUUGUACACCAAAAAAAAAAUGUAAAAUGAAAAAAAAAAAUUUGGGGUGUUCGGGCUUCCUGAAGGUAAUACCCGGGUAUCAGGUUAUGGGGCUAUGGUAAGGUUUAAGGUUUUUGACGUUAGGGUGAACAUAACUUUCCAAAACCUUUGUAGGAACUCUUUUCCAACCUUAUGGAGUUCGUUAGACCAAAAAAAAAAAGAAAAAUGAAAAAAAAAUAUUUGGGGUGUUCAGGCUUCCUGAAGGUAAUACCCGGGUAUUAGGUUAUGGGGCUUAGGAAAUGUUUAAGGUUUUUGGCGUUAGGGUUAAAAUCACUGUCCAAAAACCUUUGUAGGAACUCUUUUCCAACUUUUUGGAGUUAGGUUGACCAAAAAAAAAAAGAAAAAAGAAAAAAAAAUUUUUGGGGUGUUCGGGCUUCCUGAAGGUAAUACCCGGGUAUUAGGUUUUGGUGCUAGGGUAAGGUUUGAGGUUUUUGGCAUUAGGGUUAAAAUCACUGUCCAAAACCUUUUUAGGAACACCUUUCAGACCUUUUGGAGUUUGUACACCAAAAAAAAAAUGUAAAAAGAAAAAAGAAAAAAAAAUAUUUGGGGUGUUCGGGCUUCCUGAAGGUAAUACCCGGGUAUUAGGUUAUGGGGCUUAGGAAAUGUUUAAGGUUUUUGGCGUUAGGGUUAAAAUCACUGUCCAAAAACCUUUGUAGGAAGUCUUUUCCAACCUUUUGGAGUUAGGUUGACCAAAAAAAAAAAGAAAAAAGAAAAAAAAAUAUUUGGGGUGUUCGGGCUUCCUGAAGGUAAUACCCGGGUAUUAGGUUUUGGUGCUAGGGUAAGGUUUGAGGUUUUUGGCAUUAGGGUUAAAAUCACUGUCCAAAACCUUUUUAGGAACACCUUCUAGAACUGUUGGAGUUUGUACACCAAAAAAAAAAUGUAAAAAGAAAAAAGAAAAAAAAAUAUUUGGGGUGUUCGGGCUUCCUGAAGGUAAUACCCGGGUAUUAGGUUUUGGGGCUAGGGUAAGGUUUGAGGUUUUUGGCAUUAGGGUUAAAAUCACUGUCCAAAACCUUUUUAGGAACACGUUUCAGACCUUUUGGAGUUUGUACACCGAAAAAAAAAUGUAAAAUUAAAAAAAAAUAUUUGGGGUGUUCGGGCUUCCUGAAGGUAAUACCCGGGUAUCAGGUUAUGGGGCUAUGGUAAGGUUUAAGGUUUUUGGCGUUACGUUUAAAAUCACUGUCCAAAACCUUUGUAGGAACUGUUUCUAAACUUUUGGAGUCAGUUAGACCCAAAAAAAAGAGAAAUGAAAAAAAUUUUUUUGGGGUUUUCAGGCUUCCUGGAGGUAAUACCCUAAUAUUAGGUUUUGGGGCUAGGGUAAUGUUUUAGGUUUUUGGCGUUAGGGUUAAAAUCACUGUCCAAAACCUUUUUAGGAACAUGUUUCAGACCUUUUGGAGUUGGUUACAUACAAAAAAAAUGUAAAAUGAAAAAAAAAAUAUUUGGGGUGUUCGGGCUUCCUGAAGGUAAUACCCGGGUAUUAGGUUAUGGGGCUAUGGUAAGGUUUAAGGUUUUUGACGUUAGGGUGAAAAUAACUUUCCAAAACCUUUGUAGGAACUCUUUUCCAACCUUAUGGAGUUCGUUAGACCAAAAAAAAAGAAAAAUGAAAAAAAAAUAUUUGGGGUGUUCGGGCUUCCUGAAGGUAAUACCCGGGUAUUAGGUUAUGGGGCUUAGGAAAUGUUUAAGGUUUUUGGCGAUAGGGUUAAAAUCACUGUCCAAAAACCUUUGUAGGAACUCUUUUCCAACCUUUUGGAGUUAGGUUGACCAAAAAAAAAAAAGAAAAAAGAAAAAAAAUGUAUUUGGGGUGUUCGGGCUUCCUGAAGGUAAUACCCGGGUAUUAGGUUUUGGUGCUAGGGUAAGGUUUGAGGUUUUUGGCAUUAGGGUUAAAAUCACUGUCCAAAACCUUUUUAGGAACACCUUUCAGACCUUUUGGAGUUUGUACACCAAAAAAAAAAUGUAAAAAGAAAAAAGAAAAAAAAAUAUUUGGGGUGUUCGGGCUUCCUGAAGGUAAUACCCGGGUAUUAGGUUAUGGGGCUUAGGAAAUGUUUAAGGUUUUUGGCGUUAGGGUUAAAAUCACUGUCCAAAACCUUUGUAGGAACUCUUUUCCAACCUUUUGGAGUUAGGUUGACCAAAAAAAAAAAAGAAAAAAGAAAAAAAAAAUAUUUGGGGUGUUCGGGCUUCCUGAAGGUAAUACCCGGGUAUUAGGUUUUGGUGCUAGGGUAAGGUUUGAGGUUUUUGGCAUUAGGGUUAAAAUCACUGUCCAAAACCUUUUUAGGAACACGUUUCAGACCUUUUGGAGUUUGUACACCGAAAAAAAAAUGUAAAAUUAAAAAAAAAUAUUUGGGGUGUUCGGGCUUCCUGAAGGUAAUACCCGGGUAUCAGGUUAUGGGGCUAUGGUAAGGUUUAAGGUUUUUGGCGUUACGUUUAAAAUCACUGUCCAAAACCUUUGUAGGAACUGUUUCUAAACUUUUGGAGUCAGUUAGACCCAAAAAAAAGAGAAAUGAAAAAAAAAAUAUUUGGGGUUUUCAGGCUUCCUGGAGGUAAUACCCUAAUAUUAGGUUUUGGGGCUAGGGUAAGGUUUGAGGUUUUUGGCGUUAGGGUUAAAAUCACUGUCCAAAACCUUUUUAGGAACAUGUUUCAGACCUUUUGGAGUUGGUUACAUACAAAAAAAAUGUAAAAUGAAAAAAAAAAAUUUGGGGUGUUCGGGCUUCCUGAAGGUAAUACCCGGGUAUUAGGUUAUGGGGCUAUGGUAAGGUUUAAGGUUUUUGACGUUAGGGUGAAAAUAACUUUCCAAAACCUUUGUAGGAACUCUUUUCCAACCUUAUGGAGUUCGUUAGACCAAAAAAAAAGAAAAAUGAAAAAAAAAUAUUUGGGGUGUUCGGGCUUCCUGAAGGUAAUACCCGGGUAUUAGGUUAUGGGGCUUAGGAAAUGUUUAAGGUUUUUGGCGAUAGGGUUAAAAUCACUGUCCAAAAACCUUUGUAGGAACUCUUUUCCAACCUUUUGGAGUUAGGUUGACCAAAAAAAAAAAGAAAAAAGAAAAAAAAUGUAUUUGGGGUGUUCGGGCUUCCUGAAGGUAAUACCCGGGUAUUAGGUUAUGGGGCUUUGGAAAGUUUUAGGGUUUUUGGCAUCAGGGUUAAAAUCACUGUCCAAAAACCUUUGUAGGAACUCUUUUCCAACCUUUUGGAGUUAGGUUGACCAAAAAAAAAAGAAAAAAGAAAAAAAAAUAUUUGGGGUGUUCGGGCUUCCUGAAGGUAAUACCCGGGUAUUAGGUUUUGGGGCUAGGGUAAGGUUUGAGGUUUUUGGCAUUAGGGUUAAAAUCACUGUCCAAAACCUUUUUAGGAACACGUUUCAGACCUUUUGGAGUUUGUACUCCGAAAAAAAAUGUAAAAUUAAAAAAAAAUAUUUGGGGUGUUCGGGCUUCCUGAAGGUAAUACCCGGGUAUCAGGUUAUGGGGCUAUGGUAAGGUUUAAGGUUUUUGGCGUUACGGUUAAAAUCACUGUCCAAAACCUUUGUAGGAACUGUUUCUAAACUUUUGGAGUCAGUUAGACCCAAAAAAAAGAGAAAUGAAAAAAAAACAUUUGGGGUUUUCAGGCUUCCUGGAGGUAAUACCCUAAUAUUAGGUUUUGGGGCUAGGGUAAGGUUUGAGGUUUUUGGCGUUAGGGUUAAAAUCACUGUCCAAAACC